UAUAUACACACAUAAUAUCCCUUUUUGCUACAAGAACAUUGUUCAUUCUCAAAUUCUAGAUACAAAAAAAUGGAUGGAAAAGGAAAGAAUGGAGAGAAGAAAGAGAAAACCAUGAUUCCACCAAGGAGGGGUCAAGUUAAAGAGAGGAUAUUUCAUGAAUUGGGAGAGAAAAUCCUCAAAAUCAAACUUGGUGGAGGAGGGAAUGUAAGGCAGAAUCAAGUCUCUUCAUCUUCAGAGGAUUAGAUUUUUGUCCCACCAACUAAGAGAUAGAGCUUGAAUGGAGUGAUUAUGGAGACAGGUUCUUGGUGAAAAUAAUGAUGGUGUCAUUGAUGGAGAUUCACAUUAGUUCUAUGUUAUGCUGCUAUAAGGGUAGAGACAAGACAUUUCUAGCUAGAAGAUGAUGUAGAUGUUAUAGCUAAGAACUUUAAAAUACAAGAUCAUAUAUGUACGAGUGAUAAGGGCAAUAUCUUAGAUUCCUAGUUUAGUCGUGUUUAUGAUCCAGUAGACACGCUAUACUUGUUUUGGUUAUUCGACAUUGUAACCAGUGUCACAUGUAUAAACUUACAACAUCUUAAUCAACAUCUUUUAUUUAUUUGUUCUUUUAAA